AUUGAACGCUGGCGGCAGGCCUAACACAUGCAAGUCGGACGGUAGCACAGAGGAGCUUGCUCCUCGGGUGACGAGUGGCGGACGGGUGAGUAAUGUCUGGGGAGCUGCCCGAUAGAGGGGGAUAACCACUGGAAACGGUGGCUAAUACCGCAUAACGUCGCAAGACCAAAGAGGGGGACCUUCGGGCCUCUCACUAUCGGAUGAACCCAGAUGGGAUUAGCUAGUAGGCGGGGUAAGGGCCCACCUAGGCGACGAUCCCUAGCUGGUCUGAGAGGAUGACCAGCUACACUGGAACUGAGACACGGUCCAGACUCCUACGGGAGGCAGCAGUGGGGAAUAUUGCACAAUGGGCGCAAGCCUGAUGCAGCCAUGCCGCGUGUAUGCAGAAGGCCUUCGGGUUGUAAAGUACUUUCCGCGGGGAGGAAGGCGAUAAGGUUAAUAACCUUGUCGAUUGACGUUACCCGCAGAAGAAGCACCGGCUAACUCCGUGCCAGCCGCCGCCGUAA
rnacentral:rRNA from 1 species